CAUUGAGAAGCUAAACUAGCGUUAACCUUUUAAGUUAAAGUAUGAGAGCCGAACUUCUCCUCAAUGA
rnacentral:tRNA from 1 species